rnacentral:rRNA from 1 species
GAUGGGCUCGCGUGACAUUAGCUAGUUGGUAAGGUAACGGCUUACCAAGGCUACGAUGUCUAGGGGCUCUGAGAGGAGAAUCCCCCACACUGGUACUGAGACACGGACCAGACUCCUACGGGAGGCAGCAGUAAGGAAUAUUGGUCAAUGGAGGGAACUCUGAACCAGCCAUGCCGCGUGCAGGAUGACUGCCCUAUGGGUUGUAAACUGCUUUUAUCCAGGAAUAAACCUUUCUACGUGUGGGGAGCUGAAUGUACUGGAAGAAUAAGGAUCGGCUAACUCCGUUCCAGCAGCCGCGGUAAUACG